rnacentral:rRNA from 1 species
UACGUAGGGGGCUAGCGUUGUCCGGAAUCAUUGGGCGUAAAGAGCGCGCAGGCGGCUUGGCAAGUCGGGUGUGAAAUCCCGGGGCUCAACCCCGGGACUGCAUUCGAUACUGUCAGGCUAGAGGUAGGUAGGGGAGAUCGGAAUUCCUGGUGUAGCGGUGAAAUGCGCAGAUAUCAGGAGGAACACCGGUGGCGAAGGCGGAUCUCUGGGCCUUACCUGACGCUCAGUCGCGAAAGCUAGGGGAGCGAACAGG